ACUUCUGUGAAGGAUGCCUUGACAACAUCACAGCCAGUUGAGAGUCCAGUUCUGAAGGAGAGGAUCUUCUGAGAGUGGCUAAGAGGUUAGGAAGUGAUUGGUGGCAAGUGGCUAUUUUUUAGGAGUUGAUACAACUGAACUGAAAAUUGAUGAUGAGUCUAUUGACACUGUAAAACAAGGCUACCUGAUGCUUCGCGAAUGGUUCAAAAAUUGCGACCCAGAAACACGGACACACGCAACAUUAAGUGCAGCUCUUGAAGAAGCUGAAUGUUUCACUGCGAUGGAAUGUCUGUCAUUAGACGCAAAGUGAAUUUCCAUGUAACUGUUGUUGUUUAGCUUCAGAUUAACCUUGACCAAACAGAGUCUUUUGAUCAAACGCAUUCCAGCCAGGACCAUCAUGCCUAUUUCCAAAGAGAACCC